UACGAAGGGGGCUAGCGUUGUUCGGAAUUACUGGGCGUAAAGCGUGCGCAGGCGGCUUUGCAAGACAGUUGUGAAAUCCCCGGGCUCAACCUGGGAACUGCAUCUGUGACUGUAUAGCUAGAGUACGGUAGAGGGGGAUGGAAUUCCGCGUGUAGCAGUGAAAUGCGUAGAUAUGCGGAGGAACACCGAUGGCGAAGGCAAUCCCCUGGACCUGUACUGACGCUCAUGCACGAAAGCGUGGGGAGCAAACAGG
rnacentral:rRNA from 1 species